GAUGAACGCUGGCGGCGUGCCUAAUACAUGCAAGUCGAGCGGCAGCGCGAGUAGUUUACUACUUGGCGGCGAGCGGCGGACGGCAGAGUAACGCGUAGGAAUGUACCCCAAAGUGAGGGAUAACUGCUCGAAAGAGUAGCUAAUACCGCAUGUGCUCUUCGGAGUAAAGCUUUAUGCGCUUUGGGAACAGCCUGCGUUCCAUUAGCUAGUUGGUGAGGUAACUGCUCACCAAGGCGACGAUGGAUAGCUGGUCUGAGAGGAUGAUCAGCCUGACUGGGACUGAGACACGGCCCAGACUCCUACGGGAGGCAGCAGUAGGGAAUUUUCCACAAUGGGCGAAAGCCUGAUGGAGCAACGCCGCGUGCAGGAUGAAUGCCUUCGGGUUGUAAACUGCUUUUAUAAGUGAAGAAUAUGACGGUAACUUAUGAAUAAGGAUCGGCUAACUCCGUGCCAGCAGCCGCGGUCAUACGGAGGAUCCAAGCGUUAUCCGGAAUUACUGGGCGUAAAGAGUUGCGUAGGUGGCAUAGUAAGUAGGUAGUGAAAGCGUUCGGCUCAACCGAAUAACCAUUAUCUAAACUGCUAAGCUUGAGAACGAGAGAGGUAGAUGGAAUUUCCAGUGUAGGAGUGAAAUCCGUAGAUAUUGGAAGGAACACCGAUGGCGUAGGCAGUCUACUGGCUCGUUUCUGACACUAAGGCACGAAAGCGUGGGGAGCAAACGGGAUUAGAUACCCCGGUAGUCCACGCCGUAAACUAUGGAUGCUAGCUGUUAUAGGUAUCGACCCCUGUAGUAGCGAAGCUAACGCGUUAAGCAUCCCGCCUGUGGAGUACGGUCGCAAGACUAAAACAUAAAGGAAUUGACGGGGACCCGCACAAGCGGUGGAGCGUGUUGUUUAAUUCGAUGGUAAGCGAAGAACCUUACCCAGGCUUGACAUCCUUGGAAGGCCUCCGAAAGGAGACUGUGUCUUCGGAAACCAAGUGACAGGUGAUGCAUGGCCGUCGUCAGCUCGUGUCGUGAGAUGUUUGGUUAAGUCCAUCAACGAGCGCAACCCUUAUGAAUAGUUGUAUUUUUCUAUUCAGACUGCCCUGGCAACAGGGAGGAAGGGGGGGAUGAUGUCAGGUCAGUAUUUCCCUUACGUCUGGGGCUACAAACACGCUACAAUGGCCGGUACAAAGGGCAGCCAACCCGCGAGGGGGAGCAAAUCCCAUCAAAGCCGGUCUCAGUUCGGAUAGCAGGCUGAAACUCGCCUGCUUGAAGUCGGAAUCGCUAGUAAUGGUAGGUCAGCACACUACCGUGAAUACGUUCCCGGGUCUUGCACUCA
rnacentral:rRNA from 1 species